rnacentral:rRNA from 1 species
UAACGGUUGGCCUACCAGGCGACGACGGGUAGCCGGCCUGAGAGGGCGACCGGCCACACUGGGACUGAGACACGGCCCAGACUCCUACGGGAGGCAGCAGUGGGGAAUAUUGCACAAUGGGCGCAAGCCUGAUGCAGCGACGCCGCGUGAGGGAUGACGGCCUUCGGGUUGUAAACCUCUUUCAGUAGGGACGAAGCGCAAGUGACGGUACCUACAGAAGAAGCACCGGCCAACUACGUGCCAGCAGCCGCGGCCGA